rnacentral:rRNA from 1 species
GACGAACGCUGGCGGCGUGCUUAACACAUGCAAGUCGAACGGAAAGACCCUGCUUUUGUGGGGUGCUCGAGUGGCGAACGGGUGAGUAACACGUGAGUAACCUGCCCUUGACUUUGGGAUAACUUCGGGAAACUGGGGCUAAUACCGGAUAGGAGCUCCUGCUGCAUGGUGGGGGUUGGAAAGUUUCGGCGGUUGGGGAUGGACUCGCGGCUUAUCAGCUUGUUGGUGGGGUAGUGGCUUACCAAGGCUUUGACGGGUAGCCGGCCUGAGAGGGUGACCGGCCACAUUGGGACUGAGAUACGGCCCAGACUCCUACGGGAGGCAGCAGUGGGGAAUAUUGCACAAUGGGCGGAAGCCUGAUGCAGCAACGCCGCGUGCGGGAUGACGGCCUUCGAGUUGUAAACCGCUUUCGCCUGUGACGAAGCGUGAGUGACGGUAAUGGGUAAAGAAGCACCGGCUAACUACGUG